GAUGAACGCUGGCGGCGUGCCUAAUACAUGCAAGUCGAGCGAACAGACGAGGAGCUUGCUCCUCUGACGUUAGCGGCGGACGGGUGAGUAACACGUGGAUAACCUACCUAUAAGACUGGGAUAACUUCGUGAAACCGGAGCUAAUACCGGAUAAUAUAUUGAACCGCAUGGUUCAAUAGUGAAAGACGGUUUUGCUGUCACUUAUAGAUGGAUCCGCGCCGCAUUAGCUAGUUGGUAAGGUAACGGCUUACCAAGGCAACGAUGCGUAGCCGACCUGAGAGGGUGAUCGGCCAAACUGGAACUGAGACACGGUCCAGACUCCUACGGGAGGCAGCAGUAGGGAAGCUUCCGCAAUGGGCGAAAGCCUGACGGAGCAACGCCGCGUGAGUGAUGAAGGUCUUCGGAUCGUAAAACUCUGUUAUUAGGGAAGAACAAAUGUGUAAGUAACUAUGCACGUCUUGACGGUACCUAAUCAGAAAGCCACGGCUAACUACGUG
rnacentral:rRNA from 1 species